rnacentral:rRNA from 1 species
GACGAACGCUGGCGGCGUGCUUAACACAUGCAAGUCGAACGGAAAGGCCCUGCUUUUGUGGGGUGCUCGAGUAGCGAACGGGUGAUUAACACGUGAGUAACCUGCCCUUGACUUUGGGAUAACUUCAGGAAACUGGGGCUAAUAUCGGAUAUGAGCUCCUGCUGCAUGGUGGGGGUUGGAAAGUUUCGGCGGUUGGGGAUGGACUCGCGGCUUAUCAGCUUGUUGGUUGGGUAGUGGCUUACCAAGGCUUUGACGGGUAGCCGGCCUGAGAGGGUGACCGGCGACAUUGGGACUGAGAUAGGGCCCAGACUCCUACGGGAGGCAGCAGUGGGGAAUAUGUCACAAUGGGCGGAAGCGUGAUACAGCAACGCCGAGUGCGGGAUGACGGCCUUCGGGUUGUGAACCGCUUUCGCCUAUGACGAAGCGUGAGUGACGGUAAUGGGUAAAGAAGCACCGGCUAACUACGUG